GAGAAACCUAGAAACAGACCCUUAUUCAUUGUAUGCAAACAAAACAUCUACCAAUGUUGUUUCUUCUCAAAUGAUGCCUGAUAGACUACUUUCCUUCAAGCUCAACUUCAUGGAAGGUCUCUUCUGCAUCAUUAGGCAUUAUUAUUACCCUACUUUAGAAUAUUUUUAAACAAUUUUAUUUAAUCCUAUUAUCGCAUUUAUAUAUUUUUUUCCAAGCAGGCACAUAUAAGCCUGAAAGUAAGUGUCCAUUUGGUGAGAUUUUGUUUUGUUUUGUUUUGUUAAGUAAGCUAAGUGUGUGUGGAUGGUUUGGGAAUUGAAGUAGGAGUUGACUGAAAACUAACCAAGGGGUGAUUGUGUUUUUUACAUGCAUGGUUCUUUCAUAGCUAUAUUUGCUCUAGGAAUCUAGCAGAAUGACAUUUGUACAUUUAAAAGUACAAAGAAGCAAGCCUAAAGCUUAUAUUUAGCCCAUGUCUACAAAACUUGCAGAACAUUAAAUCAGCAGAAUGAAAGGCAAGCAAACAGAAAGGAAACAUAAAAAUGAGCUGGCUACUUCAAGGCACAGCUACAGUAAUUAUUUUGGUCUUUUGCUUACGGGGGUACCAACUGUUUACAAUUUACUGGCAAAUUGGUUAUUGGCAAAGCUGGGUAUUCUCAUUUUCCCUCCUGGUUCAGGAGUCAAAAACAUAUGCUACCUAUCGUAAUGAACUCGGCUAAGAUUUGAAGUUAUCCAUAUUCAUGUCACCAGAAAUGUUUACGCAGGAGCAAAAUGCUCUGAUGUCCAUAUAAAUCAGAAACAUCUCAAAGUUUAUAUUUCCUUAUGCUUCUUUGGCAUUGCAAAGCAGAAAAAUGUAAUUUAAUUACAAACAAAAAGAAAAAAAUUGGAAAUCAUUGCUCUUUGAAAAUAAUGCAAACCAAUGCAAAGUUUCAGCAUCCUUCAAAGAUUUAUAACCUAUCAAUAGAUAUAAAAGAAUAUAGAGAUAUAUUGUAUAUACCUUGCAUAUUUCCCAUCUUCUCUGCAUAAAUUAUACAUUCAUUAUCAUAAUUAUAAUUUUAUUUGUAGGUUUCCACAAUUCUUUUCUUAUAAAAUGUAGCUGUGCAGUAAUAUUUGCAAUUUUUAAGGAAAAAACCCCCACUUAGUUUUAUACUUAUUUACAUUCUGCCAAGAUUCUUAACUUGUCCAGGGUCUCUUAAUGUAUUUCAGAUGGAAAAGCUUCUGCUUUAAGCAACACUGUUACAUACAAGUACUUGUAGUACUGUAUUUGGGUACUGAACAACAUUUACUGAACAAUGGGAGCAAGAUUUGAUGGGCUAGCCAUUUUUGUGUUUGACACUUGAUUAAUAAUUGCCCAAUGAUUAGAUGAGUAGCCUCCAUAACAAUAGAGGUUUCCUUAUUAUACCCUAUAAUGAAAGAGUCGUUCUUGUGAUGUCUGUUUCUUGACCUGACCUACCUUGAAUGGUGGACAAAAAGGAUCAAAAUAAGCACACGUUGCCCAUUUUGUAUGAUCCUUUUUGUUACCCACCAAAGCAGCCAUUGUAUGCUCAGAUAUGAAUCCUAUUUAAAAAGGAUAAACUUGUCUAAAACACUUUGUAGUUUCAGACCCACCACUCUUCUGAGGCAAUAAGUCUGGCAUUGGAAGAUCAUGAAUCUGAGAUUUACUCCAGAUAAAAGAGAUAAGAAGAUCCCCCCAACCUCACAAGGAACUGUUUGUGAAGAACAACUGCCUUGAUUCCUUUUCUUUCUGCUAUACUUCUCUGUUGAUGAUCUUUGUAUUAGUUGGACUCUAUACUUUCCACAUCCAAUGCAUCUGGAAAAUAUUCAGUUGUGAGCACUAUCUGGACAGUAACAUAGAUUCCUGAGGGAAAGGGUCCAAGUUUAAUUAAUGAGAAGGAAGCAAAGGGACCCCUGCAACGGCAGUCAUUGUGGUUCCUUUGGAAAAGGAAAAAAGAUUCCUGUUGAACCCACUGUAGAGAAUCAUUUCAGCCAAAAGUAUUAUUUGGUCAGGGCUGCAUGUUAUAUGGAUUUCUCUUUUCCUGCCUGCAGCAGUCCUGAUACUUAUAAUUCUCCACCACCAUCAGAGAAGGCAGCUAGUAUGAUUAACCAUGAGUACUGAUAUUUUGCCGAUGCUACGACAGAGAAGAAACAAUACCGACAUAACAUCAUACCAAUGAUAUUAAUACUCCUAACCAUGUCUUGAGAUGCAUUUGGUGUAGUGCUUAAGGCACCAGGCCAGAAACUGUGAGACUAUGAUCCUAGUCCUAUUUUAGGCAUAAAGCCAGCUGGGUGACUUGGGCCAGUCAUUCUCUCUCAACUUUAGAAGUAAGACAAUGGCAAGCCAUUUUUGAAAGCCCACUGCCAAGAAAACUGCAGGGACUUGUCAAACACUGACAUGAAGGAAUCCAUCACAUGGUAUUACCAGGUUGGGCAUCAUUAACUGCAGUGAUUUUCCUACUUCCUUGUCCAACUCGUUGCCAUCUUUCCUUGCUCCAGCUUUGCUUUUCUAUAUAUAUUUUAAAAAAAACUGCACUUUUAAAUAUAAUAUUUUAAAUCACAAUUAUUCCCACAAUCAUUAUAUUUCAUGUUCUCAUCAUCUGUUGCAAUUAUUUGGCUAAGUGGGAACAUUUAAAAUUCUGGGAUCAUAUUGAGGAGAGUUUCAGACAAUUGCUGCCAAAAUGGACAUAGCUACUUCCACAAUGUUGCCAAGAAAAUGGUUGAAUGACCAUGCCUG